AGUGAACGCUGGCGGUAGGCCUAACACAUGCAAGUCGAACGGCAGCACAGUAAGAGCUUGCUCUUACGGGUGGCGAGUGGCGGACGGGUGAGGAAUACAUCGGAAUCUACUUUUUCGUGGGGGAUAACGUAGGGAAACUUACGCUAAUACCGCAUACGACCUACGGGUGCAAGCAGGGGAUCUUCGGACCUUGCGCGAUUGAAUGAGCCGAUGUCGGAUUAGCUAGUUGGCGGGGUAAAGGCCCACCAAGGCGACGAUCCGUAGCUGGUCUGAGAGGAUGAUCAGCCACACUAGAACUGAGACACGGUCCAGACUCCUACGGGAGGCAGCAGUGGGGAAUAUUGGACAAUGGGCGCAAGCCUGAUCCAGCCAUACCGCGUGGGUGAAGAAGGCCUUCGGGUUGUAAAGCCCUUUUGUUGGGAAAGAAAAGCAGCAGGUUAAUACCCCGCUGUUCUGACGGUACCCAAAGAAUAAGCACCGGCUAACUUCGUG
rnacentral:rRNA from 1 species